UUUGGUAGAAGGCAAUCGUAG
rnacentral:piRNA from 1 species